rnacentral:misc_RNA from 1 species
GUACAACAUAGAAGCAUUUGAAGAACAAGAACAACAUGAUGGUGAUGAUAAUAAGGAAGAAUAAGCUAAUGGGUAUCUACCAAAUCUAUUAUUAGAGCAAUAAGAAUUAUCAUAAUAUGAAAAUGAAGAUGACCCUUUACACUUUAGUGUAAGAGUUGAACUUACACAAGUGUUAUACAUGGCUAAAGAGGAUUAAAGAUUGUACCUUUAAUGGCAAAAAUCUCUUCUUUUUUCAAGAUUCUGUAGAAUUAUUAGGAGAAAAUCCAAGUCGGAACAGUGUU